UGGGGCCAUAGUCUAGUGAGAAAAGGAAGGGAGAAAGGGCGCGUAGAGGAAAAAAAUCGUAUGUGUAUCCUUCACGCCUCGCCCCUGUCCCAAGCGGUGCCGCCGCCAGACCAAUACUUUCCCCUCUCUCAGAUCUCAUCUCCCGACCAUCCGCGCCUCGCCCUGGAUCGCCCAGCUCCGCCGCUCCACGGCCCGCCCCACUGCGCCGCUCCCAGGCCAGCCCCGCUCGGCCGCUCCCCUGCCCACCCCGUUCCGCCGCUCCACUUCUAUUUCCCCGUCUGUACCGCAUUGGUGACCUAGUCACACCAUGGUCGCGAAGGGCGUGGUGGCCCUGGCCAUGUCGGCUGGGUGACGGCGUCGUGCCACUGGCGGUGACUCCAUCUGCGACGCCCUCAACUCGUGCUGCCGCCCUUGACCGUGGUAGACGGUGCCGCCCCCGCUGAUUGAAUGACAACCGGAUUUGCGUGCUGUUGUACGCCACUGCUACCAUCCAUAAGGUUCUUAAAGAGCCCUUAUGAGAACAUCUAUUUGAGCGAUUCCACAACUCUAAGUAGUGAUUCGGAAUCAAGAUUAGUGUGUGGUCUGAUGGCUCGUUGUGACUGUCUUUGUAUGGGAUAUCGUCUUGAACUUUGACUCAAUAACACGAGAAUGCAGAAACUGAUUCGUAUGUCGUAGGCAUCAUAUAAUCACGGUGAAAAAGCAAAAAAAAUUAUUAGGUAAUUAUAUUCUUACAUCUUUCUGAUACUUUUAGCAAGCAUGUUUGUGUAAGCAUGGACAUAUUUAAGUUUUGUGGUGCUUACCAGAGAUCCACAAUGCCAUUCAUGUAGCUAGAUCCAGCAGUCUUAUGUGGAACUUGUAGUACCUCCAUCUCCUUUGCUUGGUUAUAUAUAUGAUUAAAUCGCUCUCUUCUUCGUAAACUCAUAGGUCUUAAUUAUUUCUAUCGGUGACUGCAAACUGCAGGUAUUUUGAUGUGAUGCCAAUGAAAAAUGGAAAACUCUUACACUAGAGUAUAAUUUCUGUUUGCAAACUGUUCGACUUUGAUUAGGUUUAGGUUAUCACUUAUGUGCUUUACUGGCCUAUGUGCAAACGCACAAGUGUGCAAAUAUAAGAGCGGAAGCUCUAGGUGAUAAUGUUCUUUUUUUGUCCUUUUGCUGGUUGUAACUCAAGAUUGAGAUAUUGAUCUCUCCUCUCCUAUAAACAUAUAUUUUUUAUUGUUCAUGGCUUAUAUUGCAUGCAACCUAUGUGAACAUACAUUCAUUUCUGACUCUUUCCACCCCUUGUUCAUAUCGAGAAAAUAUGGUACCUUCUUUUGUGAAAAGAGAAAAUACGACCCAUGGAUGCGUAAGUAUACGAGCUAGCUACUUAAUUUUCCGGCUAACAUGACACCCAAGCAUAUUACAGUGAAGCUAGCAGGUGGGCAGCCAAUAUUUUGGCGGAUGAAUUGGUUGCCCUCGGCUUGCCCGUGUAUUGGUGAGAAAUGCAUGGGCAAAAGCCGGCUGGGUUGGGCAAGCCAAAUAUUUGGUGUCCAACCAAAUAGCAGCCAAAACUCAUGGGCACGCCAAUAUUUUGGCAAGGCCAGCUUUGGCUCAAAACCAAACACACCCGAACACAUGAAUGAGCCAUUAAACCAUGUAAAUUGUGGUCAGAAUGUAGCCACUAAACAUAAUGAAUAGGAAAUAUUUCAUGUAGUCUAUCUGUUAAAUUUGUUCACAGCUAUGCAAGUACAUGAAUGACAAAAAUAGUAGCUUCACUGAUCCAUCUUGUGUGUGUGUGUGUGUUAUAAAUCAAUUAUCCAGGUGGUUGAAGACUUGGCAACAAACACUUAUCUAUUUACUAUUAUUAUGGUUACCAUGAUUGUCUUGUUGAUUAUAAAUUCUUCUUUUCUAUCUUUAUCUUAUUUGUCUAAAGAAUCACACAUUACAGGAUGACAAUUGGAAGAAAAGCAUAUCGACUUUCUCUAGCCAUCAAACCUGUGCCUGCUACUCGGAACACUAUGAUGGAUACGUAAGAGUUUCAGAUCUUCCUGCUGCUAUUCCAAAUAAUGAAGACCAACCUGCUGGGAAGACAUAUAUCUUAUUAAUUUGUAUAAGUAGUUUCUUGUUCUGCAAUAUUUUUCCUUUUUCUAAUACUUGUUUGUUGCAUUUACAAUUUGCUAGAUUUGAAAGUAACCACCAUGUGAAUUUUCUUGUAUUGCAGACUUUGGCAACUAACCAAAGAGUGCCUAUUGCAGAAAUACCGCCGCCGCCGGUUCCACCUUCUCAUUCACUUUCUCCUCGUGGAUCUCCACAACGAUCUACUAUCCAAAUUCUAGAAAAUAGCGAAGAACCACCAGCUUUGUGUGCUCAACAAGAAAUAAAUCCUAGAUCUCUUCACGAAGGCAGGAACAUGGUGUUGCCUCAAGUCUUCGUGUUGCAGACGAUGAAGGGAUGUUUGGGGGAUUCUUUUUCAGCCAGUCACUAUUGAGUAACCAGUUGGGUUCUUGAUGUUAACAUGGUGGUACAUGUUUUGGUGUAACAUUUUGGUGCAUGUAUAGUUAACAUGUUUUGUGAUGUAGAAAACUCUAGUUGACCUACAUCAAUAUAUAGGUGCUAAUUAAGAUGUUUACUCAGUUAGAUGUAGCAAACUCUGGCCAGCGUGCCUAUUUUUUGUCAAACAUUUGAUGGCUGGUGAUGUCUUGGCAUCUAUUGUAUGCAUGUGACGAUUGAUAUCUAUCUAUAUAUUUGAUGUUAUUUUCA